rnacentral:rRNA from 1 species
GGUUUGAUCCUGGCCUCCAGAUUGAACGCUGGCGGGAUGUUUACAGAUGCAAGUUUGAACGGCGGCAUCGGGACUUCGGUCUGGUGGCGAGUAUGAAACGGUGAGUAAUGUAUCGGAACGUGCCUAGUAGUGGGGAUAACUACGCGAAAGCGCUAAUACCGCAUACGCCCUUCGGGGGAAAGUGGGGACCUUUCGGGCCUCGCACUAUUAGAGCGGCCGAUAUCGGAUCAGGCUAUGUUGCGGGGUAACGGCUCACCAAGGCGACGAUCCGCAGCUGGUUUGAGAGGACGACCAGCCACACCGGGACUGAGGACACGGCCCAGACUCACGGGAGGCAAGGCGGGGAAUUCUUGAAUAAUGGGGGAAACCUGAUCCAGCCAUCCCGCGUGUGCGAUGAAGCGUCUUUACAGCACUUUUGGCAGGAAAGAACGGUACGGGAUAAUACCCCGUGCAACUGACGGUACCUGCAGAAUAAGCACCGGCUAAACGCACGUCGCCAGCAGCUGCGGUAAUACGUAGGGUAAAGCGUUAAUCGGAAUUACUGGGCGGGCGUGCAGGCGGUUCGGAAAGAAAGAUGUGAAAUCCUGUAUUUAACUUUUGGAACUGCAUUUUUAACUACCGAGCUGGAGUGCCAGAGAGGUGGAAUUCCGCGUGUGCAAAAGUAACGUGCAGAUGCGGAGGAACACCGAUGGUUGAAGGCAGCCUUCCGACAAACGACGUUCAGCACGAAAGCGUGGGAGUUAAACAGACGGAUAACCCGGUAGUCCACGCCCUAAACGAUGUCAACUAUUGCUUGGGGCCUUCGCCUUGGUAGUGAAGCAGGAAGUUAAUCGCUCUGGGGAGCAAUGGUCGCAAUGAUUAAAACCAGAAGCGAAUUGACGGGGACCUGCACAAGCGGUGACGAUGGAUUGACUGAUGCAACGCGAAAACCUUACCUACCCUGACAUGUUCUACAAUCCUGAAGAGAUCGGGGAGUGCUUCAAGAGAACCGGAACACAGGUGCUGCAUGGCUGUCGUCAGGUUCAGGCCGCGAGAUGUUGGGUUAAGUCCCGCAACGAGCGCAACCCCGGUCACAAGCCGUUACGAAAGGGCACCUCUAAUGGAGACUGCCGGUACGAACCCGGAGGAAGGUGGGGAUGACGUCAAGUCCCUGCUGGCCCUUGCGGUAGGGCUUCAAUAUCAUACAAUGGUCGGGACAGGGUCGCCAACCCGCGAGGGGGAGCCAAUCCUGCAGAAACCUCGAUCGUAGUCCGGAUCGCAGGUUCGCAACUGACUGCGUGAAGUCGGAAUCGCUGGUAAUCGCGGAUCAGUAAUGUCGCGGUGAAUACGUUCCCGGUCUUGCACAUUACCGCCCGUCACACCAUGGAGUGGGUUUACCAGAAGGUUAACCGUAAGAUAUCAACGGUAGAUUCGCGACUGGGGCAUGUAACAAGGCAA